AUGCAGCAACGCCGCGUGAGCGAUGAAGGCCUUUCGGGUCCGUAAAGCUCUGUCCUCAAGGAAGAUAAUGACGGUACUUGAGGAGGAAGCCCCGGCUAACUACGUGCCAGCAGCCGCGGUAAUACGUAGGGGGCUAGCGUUAUCCGGAAUUACUGGGCGUAAAGGGUGCGUAGGUGGUUUUUUAAGUCAGAAGUGAAAGGCUACGGCUCAACCGUAGUAAGCUUUUGAAACUAGAGAACUUGAGUGCAGGAGAGGAGAGUAGAAUUCCUAGUGUAGCGGUGAAAUGCGUAGAUAUUAGGAGGAAUACCAGUAGCGAAGGCGGCUCUCUGGACUGUAACUGACACUGAGGCACGAAAGCGUGGGGAGCAAACAGGAUUAGAUACCCUGGUAGUCCACGCCGUAAACGAUGAGUACUAGGUGUCGGGGGUUACCCCCCUCGGUGCCGCAACUAACGCAUUAAGUACUCCGCCUGGGAAGUACGCUCGGAAGAGUGAAACUCAAAGGAAUUGACGGGGAGCCGCACAAGUAGCGGAGCACGUGGUUUAAUUCGAAGCAACGCGAACAAGCUUACCUAAGCUUGACGUCCCACUGACCUCUCCCUAAUCGGAGAUUUCCCUUCGGGGACAGUGGUGACAGGUGGUGCAUGGUUGUCGUCAGCUCGUGUCGUGAGAUGUUGGGUUAAGUCGCCGCAACGAGCGCAACCGCUUGCCUUUAGUUGCCAGCAUUAAGUUGGGCACUCUGCGAGGGACUGCCCAGGAUAACUCGGAGGAAUGUGGGCGAUGACCUCGAAUCAUCAUGCCUCCUUCAUGCUUAGGGCUACUCACGUGCUACAAUGGGUGAUACAGAGUGGUAUGCCAUAGCCGCUUCUGUGCAGCUAAUACCCAUAACAGCCAUUCUCACUUCAGAUUGUAGUGCUGUACACGUCGACUAUAUGCACGCUAGAGUUACUAGUGUCGCAGAUCAGAAUGCUGCGGUGGACUGUCGUUCCUCAGGUCCUC
rnacentral:rRNA from 1 species